UGUAGACCCUUCUAUUACAGGUACAUCCUGCCCAGUGUUAUUAUCAACGGCCGCGGUACCCUGACCGUGCAAAGGUAGCAUAAUAAUUUGCCUUUUAAUUGAAGGCUAGCAUGAACGGACAAACGAGAAUAAGACUGUCUCACUUAUAUCCAUAAAAAUUUAUCCUUAGGUGAAGAAGCCUAAAUUUAUAUAAAAGACAAGAAGACCCCGUCGAGCUUUAGCUUAAUAUAUAACUUCAAUAUCACUCUACCACACCCUAUAUAGAACCUUUUGUUGGGGCGACAACGGAAUAUAUUAAUCUUCCGUAACAAGCCAGACCCUAUGUCAAUCAAAUGAUCCUUUACUGAUCACAAGAACUAGCUACCGCAGGGAUAACAGACUAAUCUUCCUCCGGAGCCCAAAUCUACAGGAAGGCUUGGCACCUCGAUGUUGGCUUAGGAAAAUCCCCUAGAUGAAGCAGUCUAGGAAGUGGGUUUGUUCAACCCUUAAUAUCCUACA
rnacentral:rRNA from 1 species